UACGUAGGGACCAAGCGUUGUCCGGAAUCAUUGGGCGUAAAGCGCGCGUAGGCGGCCCGGUAAGUCCGUUGUAAAAGUCAAAGGCUCAACCUUUGAAUGCCGAUGGAUACUGCCGGGCUAGAGCCCGGAAGAGGCGAGUAGAAUUCCUGGUGUAGCGGUGGAAUGCGCAGAUAUCAGGAGGAAUACCCAUAGCGAAGGCAGCUCGCUGGGACGGUACUGACGCUAAGGCGCGAAAAGCGUGGGGAGCGAACAGG
rnacentral:rRNA from 1 species